UACGAAGGGGGGCUAGCGUUGCUCGGAAUCACUGGGCGUAAAGCGCACGUAGGCGGAUCUUUAAGUCAGGGGUGAAAUCCCGAGGCUCAACCUCGGAACUGCCUUUGAUACUGGGGAUCUCGAGUCCGGGAGAGGUGAGUGGAACUGCGAGUGUAGAGGUGAAAUUCGUAGAUAUUGGGAAGAACACCGAGGCGAAGGCAGCCAUCUGGACCGACACUGACGCUGAGGCGCGAAAGCGUGGGGAGCAAACAGG
rnacentral:rRNA from 1 species